rnacentral:piRNA from 1 species
UGGACUUCAUGAUGCCCAAGUCCC